UCUCUCUCUUUCUCUAUCUCUCUCUCUCUCUCUCUCUCUUCUUCUCUCCCUCUAGGUCUGCUCCGAGAAUCUCACAGUGACACGGCUACUUUCAGCCCUGCAUUCAUUAAUAAAUAUGGUAACUAUGUCAGUCGUGACAUUACUGCUAACACAGACAACGACGGAAGAGUCAACAAAAGGAAGUGGAGCAGUGUAGAGCGUAUGGACAGAGCUUCCUCAGGUUAGGAGUGAUGCUGAUGUUUUCUCUAUUCCCUUCUUCCUCCACUCCUCCGCUAGUUUGGUCCACCCAUUUGUACAGAAUGUUUGGAAAGGGAGUUCCGUAUCCAGCCUGCUUCAGUGAAUACACAUCAGCCUGUGUAAACCAGUGAGAGAGAGAGAGAGAGAGGCAGGUCUCCACAGGCCUGAUUACUGCCAGACCUGUGGACGAAAGAGAAGAAGAACGAGACUGGGUGAAAAUGGAGAAAUGGAGAAAAUGGAGAAUUCCAAGGCAAUAAAACACUGCUUACCAAAAAGAACACAACGGCCCAUCUCAUAUUUACCAAAAAACAUCUUGAUGAUCUCCAGAACUUUGGAAAAAUAUUCUUUGGACUGACUUGUCAAAAGAGGCUAGAGCAGCGACUCUCAACGGGUGGGUCGGGGCCCAAAAAUGUGUUAUGAUCACACGUUCUGGGUGGGUCACGG
rnacentral:lncRNA from 1 species